CGCGUAGGCGGCCACCGCAAGUCGACUGUGAAAUCUCCGGGCUUAACCCGGAACGGUCAGCCGAUACUGCGGGGCUAGAGUGCAGAAGGGGCAACUGGAAUUCUCGGUGUAGCGGUGAAAUGCGUAGAUAUCGAGAGGAACACCUGCGGCGAAGGCGGGUUGCUGGGCUGACACUGACGCUGAUGCGCGAAAGCUAGGGGAGCGAACG
rnacentral:rRNA from 1 species